CAACUUCCCCCUCGGUCGCCUUCCACCUCGCUACAGGGGAAGCCGACCGAGGCGCGCCCGCUGUCCUCGCCGAACCCGCUCGCCGCCCCCGCGUCGCUGCCGCGCUGAGAAGAUAAGGCAGAGUCCCCUCGGCUUCGUCAGCUCCCCUUCCCCCACCAGAUAUUUUCCCCACUCCUGCGCCCCUCCCUCUCUUCCCCCAGAUCCACCGCGACUGUGGCCGUGAACGCCGGUGCCCACGCGCCUCACCGUGCUCUACGAGCAUGUCCGCUAGGUGCGGCGCCGUCCUCUGCUUCGACUCCGGCCGCUGGAACCAGUCGGGAGCGACCGCGUCCUCGGGAACGACCUCGACCACGCCUUCCUCGCCGGAGCUGCGCAGAGCCACUCCGUCACCCUCAUGCGCUACUAAACUCUCACAGGCCUUCUUGAGCCGCCCGAUGACGGAUCCCAGGAGUCAGACGACGCCACCGAUGACUACUACUACCCGGAGGAUGCCUACUACUGCUUGAAGACCACUGACGAUUUGGAGUAGUUAGGAGGCUCCCAGGCAGGAGGCCUUGCCUUUUCGAUUGUUGUUGCUUUUGUGCUAGCCUUCUUAAGACAAUCUUGUUUAACUCAUGUCUGUACUCAGAUAUUGUUGCUUCCGCUGACUCUUGUGUAUUCGAGCUUAUGUAUUCGAGCCUUUGAGUCCCCUGGCUUGUAAUAUAAAGCUUGUAUUAUUUUCA